GUCAAUUUAACCUUUCAAUGCUGUAACUGGUACUUGUGUAUAAACUGAAGGAAAAGAAUAUCAAGCAAAGGAAAACAAGCUUAGGAAGACACACAGAAUAAUGUAAGGACUCUAUUUUGUGUACCUAAAACAGGCCUAAAUAGGACAAAUACCAGAUUUCAUGAAAUUUGGUCAACUGAUUCAAAAGUUGAAAGAAACACAUCGUGAUCUCAUAAGCAUACUUCUUGUCUUAAGAGAAAGAUUUCUGCUAUAACCCAGAAGACUACUACUACUACUACUACUACUAUGGCGUAACAGCCCAAAAUCGAGCCCUAGCCUCCUCAUAACCCAGAAGACAGCCACCUUUUUAAACUCAAAAGUGGCUCCUGCUGCUCCAGAGUCCCGUGGUUGCAUCUCAAACACUGUACGGAAUAAAUUUUCUGAGGCUGUGAUUACCAGCUACUACUUUGUGAGAGCUACAACAGCAGACUUAUGCCCUCUGUGGAAGAAAUUAUAGAAACAAGCACAAAGAAAAGGAUUACCUGCAACCAUUCCUGUAAGAAUGUGCAGCACAGUCGUCUGUCCCAAGCAUCUGUAAUGUGUCCUCCGUACAUAAUUUCACCAAAAAGAUUCUUACCGACAUUGAAUGGAUACACCUUGUUCCAGCCUUGGGCACCAAAUUUUCUUCGUUCAUUAACAACAGCAUGGAAGUAGCAGAGUACAAACAGUAUUGAUUUAAAUUCCGCUUCUUU